rnacentral:rRNA from 1 species
GGCGCAGACGGCGAAGCAAGUCUGAAGUGAAAUGCAUGGGCUCAACCCAUGAAUUGCUUUGGAAACUGUUUGGCUUGAGUGUCGGAGGGGUAAGCGGAAUUCCUAGUGUAGCGGUGAAAUGCGUAGAUAUUAGGAGGAACACCGGAGGCGAAGGCGGCUUACUGGACGACAACUGACGUUGAGGCUCGAAGGCGUGGGGAGCAAACA